rnacentral:guide_RNA from 1 species
AAAUACAAAACUGAACAGAUGAUAGAGAUAGUAAAUGAUUUAUUAUUGU